rnacentral:rRNA from 1 species
UACACACCGCCCGUCACACCAUGGGAGUCAGUUGCUCCGGAAACGGCUGCGCUAACCCGCAAGGGAGGCAGGUCUUUAAGGAGUGGCUGGUAACUGGGGUG